GACGAACGCUGGCGGCGUGCUUAACACAUGCAAGUCGAACGAAGAGGCCCUACCUUGGUUGGUUGCACUAGUGGCGAACGGGUGAGUAACACGUGAGUAACCUGCCCUUAACUUUGGGAUAACUUCGGGAAACUGGGGCUAAUACCGGAUAGGAGCUCCUGCUGCAUGGUGGGGGUUGGAAAGUUUUUGCGGGUAGGAAUGGCCCCGCGGCUAAUCAGCUUGUUGGUGGGGUAGUGGCUCACCAAGGCGAUGACGGGUAGCCGGCCUGAGAGGGAGACCGGCCACACUGGGACUGAGAUACGGCCCAGACUCCUACGGGAGGCAGCAGUGGGGAAUAUUGCACAAUGGGCGGAAGCCUGAUGCAGCGACGCCGCGUGAGGGAUGACGGCCUUCGGGUUGUAAACCGCUUUCGGCUGGGAAGAAGCGAGAGUGACGGUACCUGCAAAAGAAGCGCCGGCUAACUACGUG
rnacentral:rRNA from 1 species